rnacentral:rRNA from 1 species
UAGGGAAUAUUGGACAAUGGGCGCAAGCCUGAUCCAGCCAUGCCGCGUGAGUGAAGAAGGCCCUCGGGUUGUAAAGCUCUUUUGUCCGGAAAGAAAAGCAUCGGGUUAAUACCCCGGUGUUCUGACGGUACCGGAAGAAUAAGCACCGACUAACUUCGUGCCAGCAGCCGCGGUAAUACGAAGGGUGCAAGCGUUACUCGGAAUUACUGGGCGUAAAGCGUGCGUAGGCGGUCUGUUAAGUCUGCUGUGAAAUCCCCGGGCUCAACCUGGGAAUGGCAGUGGAAACUGGCGGGCUAGAGUACGGUAGAGGAUGGUGGAAUUCCCGGUGUAGCGGUGAAAUGCGUAGAGAUCGGGAGGAACACCAGUGGCGAAGGCGGCCAUCUGGACCAGUACUGACGCUGAGGCACGAAAGCGUGGGGAGCAAACA